GUGAGUCAUCGAAUCUUUGAACGCACAUUGCGCCCGCCAGUAUUCUGGCGGGCAUGCCUGUCCGAGCGUCAUUUCAACCCUCGAACCCCUCCGGGGGUCCGGCGUUGGGGAUCGGCCCUUAACCGGCCGGCCCCGAAAUACAGUGGCGGCCUCGCCGCAGCCUCUCAUGCGCAGUAGUUUGCACACUCGCACCGGGAGCGCGGCGCGGCCACAGCCGUAAAACAAACCAAACUCUGAAAUGUUGACCUCGGAUCAGGUAGGAAUACCCGCUGAACUUAAGCAUAUCAAUAAGCGGAGGA
rnacentral:misc_RNA from 1 species